AAGCUUAGGAUUCAUCCUGCUAAGCCUCCCUCGGAUGCUGAAGAGAAACUGCUCUAUGAGGUGCUCAAGGAGGCCUCAUCACGGACGUACCCGGCUGAGAAGCUCCAUUGGUCCAACUCCUUCACCGCUCAGCACAGGUAAUGAUAAUGCGCUUGAGGAAACUUGAUAAGUUGGCUACCUUGAAAUGGAGAAGGAGGUCAAGAAACACAUUUCCUAACUUUCAAAAGGAACUGUCUGGGAUAAUUAAUCAACACAUCACCAACACCAAGGGAUUGUUUUAUAUCAGAAGACAUAUAAUU